UUCCUCUUCCCCUUCUCCUCUUCCUCCUCCUCCUUUUUUUUUCCCCAAGACAGGAUUUCUCUGUAUGGCCCUGGCUGUCCUGGAGCUCACUUUGUAGACCAGGCUGGCCUCGAACUCAGAAAUCCGCCUGCCUCCGCCUCCCGAGUGCUGGGAUUAAAGGCGUGCACCACCACGCCCGGCCCUAUCCUCCUCCUCCUCCUCCUCCUCCUCCUCCUCCUCCUCCACCUCCUCCUCCUCCUUCUAAUGUAUUUUCUUGAGACUGUCCUGGAACACUCUAGAAACCUGGUUGGCCUUGAAUUCAGAUAUUCACCUCCUUCUAUCUCCCAAGUCCUGGUAAACAUCACCAAGCCCAGCUAGAAAGUCAUUCUAGGAUCAGAAAUAAUAGUAUAGCAUGGUUACAUAUUUGGAUUUGCUGCGGGUAUUUCUGAAUCUUCAUAAUAAAAACUUAAAGCCAUUAAGGCAUGUAUUUUUAGAGCAUUGCUACAAGGCUGUCACUGUUCCUACUACAUUUUAAAGUGGAGAUCAGCUAGACAUGAGGGCACUGCCAGGAGUCUGCAGUGAAUGAUCCCAGGGUGAGGGUUAGUGGAAACACUCUUAGAAUGCUCCUUCUUAGAAGAAACAAAACUGAAACAACAACAGAAGCCAUUGUGCAGUGUAUGCCUGCAAUUCUAGCAGUUAGGAGACGGAGGCAAUGACAGCAACUACAGGCCAGCUUGGCCUACAUGUGACGAUGACCUCAAAACAAAUACAAGAAACCACCAUCUGAGGGAGCGUCCGUGAGAAGAAACAGGCACUUGUGCGUGUCACCACUGAGUGGUCUGGCAGAGGUUCUGAAUGUGGUCCCUGUGGCUCCAGUUGGAACUGGAGACAGACAGUGCCCUAACAGUAGACUCAACUGGAAAUGACUGAUGCAGUUCAACCAUCAGACCUAACCUUGGCCCAGCCCCUCAGGAACACAAAGGGCUGAGCAUCUCUUGUUAAGCCAAGGGCUGCACAGGGGCAAGGCAAAGUCAUCUCUGUGUACAUGGACAUUCAGUAUAUAUUUACCAUGGCUCAUAUGCAGGAGGCAGACCCUCUAUAUAAAGAAGGGGCCUCUCACCUCAGCUGGAAAGGAAAUCAGAAACAGGAGCCCCUCCCAAAGACCAAAAGAACAAGGCAGCAGUCUUGGCCGUCAAGAAGGAGGACCUAGAACCAGUGGGGCGUCAAGAAGGAGGACCUAGAACCAGCGGGGCCUCUCCAGAUUGUAGUUACCUUAACUGAACCUGAACUGCUCCAGCCCCCGAUGUACACAAAGAAACCAAGAGAACAAAAAGCCAACAACAAAAUAAAAAGAUGCCAAAAGGGACACAAACGGUGGGGAGACUUGCUAGGCAAAAAGACUCCGCUCCCUGUCAUGAUAGAAAGACAUGGUCA
rnacentral:lncRNA from 1 species